AACGUGUCGCGAUGGAUGACUUGGCUUUCUAUUUCGUUGAAGAACGCAGCAGCGUGCGAUAAGUGGUAUCAAUUGCAGAAUCAUUUUAUUACCGAAUCUUUGAACGCAAAUGGCGCAUGGGAGAAGCCCUUCGCGGGCCAUCCCCGUGCAUGCCAUACUCAGUGUCGA
rnacentral:rRNA from 1 species